ACUCUAAACUUUUAUUGCUGCAAAACCCAGUAUUUUUGGUGUUCUCUGAUCAUUUGGGGGUUUUAUAGCAGGAUUGAAGCUUUAAACCUUGAACUAGGGGAGACAAUGCCUGUGUUAAACCUUUUGCAGUAGAAUUUCAUUGCUGAAUUGCUGAUAGAACAGAAGCAGUAUGGAUUGGUGGGGGUCCUUCCCCUUCCCACCCCCCACCCCCGCCUUUUUAAAUGCAGGGGAUGUUUAAACCAGUCAAAAGAAGAACUCAAUAAAUAAAUUUCUGGCAUGGGGCCAGAUCUCCUAGUUCAUGCCCUUUGAUUAUUUUUUUUAGUUGAUAUCUUGUCUUCUCUGGAAUAAUCUAUUAAUUUUUUAUGGCAGGAGAAACAGCCCUGCAUAGAGCUUGCAUAAAUAACCAAGUGGAGAAAUUGAUUCUUCUUCUCUCUUUGCCAGGAAUAGACAUCAAUGUUAAAGACAAUGCUGGCUGGACGCCUUUGCAUGAAGCCUGUAACUAUGGCAACACAGUGUGUGUCCAGGAAAUUUUGCAACGUUGUCCAGAGGUAGAUCUGCUCACUCAAGUG
rnacentral:lncRNA from 10 species